UUUAUCAAUUGGCUGAGGGUAGUAAAAAAAGGGCUGAAUUGGUUCGUCCCAAAGUAAGUGUAGGGUAGAUUAUGGUUGCGUCUUGUUGUUGUUGUUUUGAUAUAUAUUAAGUGUAUAAACAUCGAAUUCAUUUGUAGGCAAGGUUGCAGCCUAAUGGGAAUGAUUGUGGAUAUUAUGUGAUGAAGAAUAUGCUUGACAUUGUCUCUGCUAAUAUUACUAAGUCUUGGAAUGAGGUAUUCAAUGAUCCAACGGCAUUAACAGAAGAAGAGUUGUAUGAUUUGCGAAACAGUUGGGCAACUUGUUUUCUAGAGUUGAUUAAACCUUAGAAUUUAUCAGAUUGAUUGAAUUGCUGGGAAUUUUGCUGAUAUGGACAGUAGAUUGGUGGAGAGAUGAUUGAAUGGAUUCAUAUGAGGCACUUUUUCUGCUGAAUUGCGUGGCUCAGAAUUUCAAGUGGUAGUGAAUCUCUUUUUGUUGUAUUGGUGGUCUUGGAGGCUUGGUAAAAUUUGGGAUAGGCAGUAACAUUUGGGCAGUUUGUUGCCUUUGGAUUAGUAGCUUUAGAGUUCUUACUAUCUUAUUGCUUUAGUAGUUCGAGACUUUACUACCUUAGUCUUUUCUUUAGCUUAGCUAGUUUAUCUUUAGCUUAGCUAGUUUUGGUUACUUUGUAUUUUGGCUUUGGACCGUUUCCUUGGUUUUUUCCAAAAAAUAUUUGGCAAUGCAUGAUCAAUUAUUAAUGAUCAAUGAAUAUUCAGCUCAAAUUACUGUAAAAAAACUGAAAAAAAAAAGGAAAAAAAAGGACAUUUCACCUCGGUUAGAAAAUCAGCUGAUGUAAAAUAUGUAUAUAAAAAAAAAAAGAGUAUUCACAUCGGUUGCGAAAAGAACCGAUGUGAAAUGUCUAA